rnacentral:rRNA from 1 species
UUUCUAGUGGCGGACGGGUGAGUAACGCGUGGGUAACCUGCCUCAUACAGGGGGAUAACAGUUAGAAAUGACUGCUAAUACCGCAUAAGACCACGGUACCGCAUGGUACAGUGGUAAAAACUCCGGUGGUAUGAGAUGGACCCGCGUCUGAUUAGGUAGUUGGUGGGGUAACGGCCUACCAAGCCGACGAUCAGUAGCCGACCUGAGAGGGUGACCGGCCACAUUGGGACUGAGACACGGCCCAG